rnacentral:rRNA from 1 species
GGAGGGCAAGUCUGGUGCCAGCAGCCGCGGUAAUUCCAGCUCCAAUAGCGUAUAUUAAAGUUGUUGCAGUUAAAAAGCUCGUAUCUUGGAUUUCUGGGGACACGCUGACUUGGUAUGCUUACCACGGAAGUGUGGACUCAUCGUUCCGCAGCGAAAGCUAAUCUUCGGAUCGGCUUCCCGCGCGGAUGUUUUACCUUGAGGAAAUUACAGUGUUUCAGGCAGGCUUGGCCAGGAUACGCUAGCAUGGAAUAAUUAGGAGGACUUAGGCCUCACUCGUUGGUUUGGGGGUCCGAGUAAUGGUUAAUAGGGACAGUUGGGGGCAUUAGUAUUUAAUAAUCAGAGGUGAAAUUCUUGGAUUUUUUAAAGACUAACCUGU